rnacentral:rRNA from 1 species
GAUGAACGCUGGCGGCGUGCCUAACACAUGCAAGUCGAACGGUCGGCUUCGGUCGAUAGUGGCGCACGGGUGCGUAACACGUAUGGAACUUGCCCUUUACUGGGAGAUAGCCCGGAGAAAUCCGGAUUAAUAUCCCAUAAUAAACGAAGUGGCAUCACUUUGUUUUGGAAGCUCCGGCGGUAAAGGAUGGCCAUGCGCAC